UACCUACGGGGCGCAGCAGUGAGGAAUAUUGGUCAAUGGACGGAAGUCUGAACCAGCCAUGCCGCGUGCAGGAAGACGGCUCUAUGAGUCGUAAACUGCUUUUGUACAAGGGUAAACCUGAAUACGUGUAUUCAGCUGAAAGUACUGUACGAAUAAGGAUCGGCUAACUCCGUGCCAGCAGCCGCGGUCAUACGUAGGAUCCGAGCAUUAUCCGGAGUGACUGGGUGUAAAGAGUUGCGUAGGUGGCAUAAUAAGUAGCUAGUGAAAUCUGGUGGCUCAACCAUUCAGACUAUUAGCUAAACUGU
rnacentral:rRNA from 1 species